rnacentral:rRNA from 1 species
CACGUAGGGUGCGAGCGUUGUCCGGAAUUAUUGGGCGUAAAGAGCUCGUAGGCGGUGUGUCGCGUCGGCCGUGAAAACCUGCAGCUUAACUGUGGGCGUGCGGUCGAUACGGGCAUCACUGGAGUUCGGCAGGGGAGACUGGAAUUCCUGGUGUAGCGGUGAAAUGCGCAGAUAUCAGGAGGAACACCAAUGGCGAAGGCAGCUCGCUGGGCAUGACCUGACGCUGAGGAGCGAAAGUGUGGGGAGCGAACAGG